rnacentral:rRNA from 1 species
UACGUAGGUGGCAAGCGUUGUCCGGAUUUACUGGGCGUAAAGGGCGUGCAGGCGGUUUGUUAAGUUCAGGGUGAAAGCUCCCGGCUCAACUGGGAGAGGUCCUUGGAUACUGGCAGACUUGAGGAGGGUAGAGGAGAGUGGAAUUCCCGGUGUAGUGGUGAUAUGCGUAGAUAUCGAGAGGAACACCGGUGGCGAAGGCGGCCAACUGGACAGAUACUGACGCUGAGACACGAAAGCGUGGGGAGCAAACAGG